GAAAUCAGGUGAUCUGAAUUCCAGUCACAGCACAACGAGCUGUCUGAGCUUCAGCGAGCUGCUGAACUUGCCAAUUCUCCCUUUUCUCAUCCAGUUAAUGUUGAGAGAUCCUCACAGGGCUGAAAGAGUGUGUAUGAACAUACUUUGAAUCAUGUAAGAUUUCACAUAAGUAGCAGGUAGCCUCAAGAAGGUUUCCCCUGCUGCUGCCUUAGAUGUAUGAGAACUUUGUGGAGGAGGUGGAUGCCGUGGACAAUGGGAUCUCCCAGUGGGCAGAGGGGGAGCCUCGAUAUGCACUGACCACUACCCUGAGUGCACGAGUUGCUCGACUUAAUCCUACCUGGAACCACCCCGACCAAGACACUGAGGCAGGGUUCAAGCGUGCAAUGGAUCUGGUUCAAGAGGAGUUUCUGCAGAGAUUAGAUUUCUACCAACACAGCUGGCUGCCAGCCCGGGCCUUGGUGGAAGAGGCCCUUGCCCAGCGAUUCCAGGUGGACCCAAGUGGGGAGAUUGUGGAACUGGUGAAAGGUGCAUGUCCCUGGAAGGAGCAUCUCUACCACCUGGAAUCUGGGCUGUCCCCUCCAGUGGCCAUCUUCUUUGUUAUCUACACUGACCAGGCUGGACAGUGGCGAAUACAGUGUGUGCCCAAGGAGCCCCACUCAUUCCAAAGCCGGCUGCCCCUGCCAGAGCCAUGGCGGGGUCUUCGGGACGAGGCCCUGGACCAGGUCAGUGGGAUCCCUGGCUGCAUCUUCGUCCAUGCAAGCGGCUUCAUUGGCGGUCACCGCACCCGAGAGGGUGCCUUGAGCAUGGCCCGUG
rnacentral:sRNA from 1 species